AUUGAACGCUGGCGGCAGGCCUAACACAUGCCAGUCGAGCGGAUGAAGGGAGCUUGCUCCUGGAUUCAGCGGCGGACGGGUGAGUAAGGCCUAGGAAUCUGCCUGGUAGUGGGGGAUAACGUCCGGAAACGGGCGCGAAUACCGCACACGUCCUGAGGGAGAAAGUGGGGGAUCUUCGGACCUCACGCUAUCAGAUGAGCCUAGGUCGGAUUAGCUAGUUGGUGGGGUAAAGGCGUACCAAGGCGACGAUCCGUAACUGGUCUGAGAGGAUGAGCAGCCACCCUGGACCUGAGCCACGGUCCAGACUCCUACGGGAGGCAGCAGUGGGGAAUAUUCGACAAUGGGCGAAAGCCUGAUCCAGCCAUGCCGCGUGUGUGAAGAAGGUCUUCGGAUUGUAAAGCCCUUUAAGUUGGGAGGAAGGGCAGUAAGUUAAUACCUUGCUGUUUUGACGUUACCAACCGAAUAAGCACCGGCUAACUUCGUG
rnacentral:rRNA from 1 species